UGCCAAGCCGUUAGGUGUUGAGAGUGAAGAAAAUUUACAAGGACUGAAAAGAGAAAUAACUCUGAGUGAAAAAGCAGUUAACUUUUAGAUGGGGUGAAAGGAAGUCCACAAACGUCAACCUCAGAUAGACAAAAUUUUCAAUCUGCUCGCCACAAAGAAAGACGGUCUCUUCCUCGGUGAAUUGUCAGAGAACUUGUCACAGCAUAUGGUGAAAGAGAGUUUCCAGUUUGUUUUGUUUGCUUUCAGUAGCUUGAUGUACACUUUGAUUUUUGUUUCAUUUUUCUGAAAACAUUUUUCGUUUGUUUGUUUGCCAUGUAGGGGGUAGGGCCUGUAAGGGAGAGAAGUGUGCUUAAAGGAUCAGGAAGUUUCAAUGACUGGAAGCUGUGUCAAAGCAAAGAAUAUGGACAGAAACAACUGGGAGACUCUUCAUGAGGUGAUCUAACACGAGCAGAGACCUAGCUGUUCUGUCAGGAAGAAAAAGGAGCUGUUUCAGGGUGCGAACAUUUUUCAUUUCUGAAAGAAUCACAAAUACGAGAUGUGAUUCCAGCCAGUUCUGAGCGUGUGUGCUUAACGGAACUAUGCCGAAGAGAUCAAGACACUGAAUCUACAUUCAACAACGACCACUGGAAACAGCAGCUUCGUGUCACCCGCAUGAGAGGGCGGUGCAGACAUUUUAUCUUGCCCGGGAGCUUGGAAAAGAACUCAGUGCACAAUACUAUCUGUUACACAUGGAUACCAGCAAUAAUACACGGGGGGCUCCGGCAUAAGAGACAGCAAGCUCUGUGCUCAUCUGCGUUCUGAGUCUCUUCCUGGAAUGGAGUUUCUGCUCACGCUGUAGCCACCGUCAGCAAUUAAAACAAAGGUAUUAUGUUUCUAGUAUUUAUUCCUCUCUAUUUUACCCAUGCAAUGUGAUGUUUGUCACCCAGUGCGAAUAGAGAGUGUUUGACUGCCUUAGAGUAGCAUAGGGUUGAAGAUAUUUUAUUUAUUUAUUUGUUUUUGCUGUUAGAGUGGGCAAUUCAAUAGGACUUUGGUAACCCGUAUUACGAGAUGCUUGUAAACACAGUAGCGCUGUUUCUGUUCAGUGGAGAGCUAAAAUGCAACGAAUCUCACAUCCCCUCCAGAAUGCUGCCAAAAUGUCAGCUAUUAUCGCAGAAGAGGAAAUCAGGCUAUGUGGAACAGAAAUUAGGAACUUUAAAUGUAUGAUAUAUGGCAGCG
rnacentral:lncRNA from 1 species